GACGAACGCUGGCGGCGUGCUCAACACAUGCAAGUCGAACGGUGAACCAACUUCGGUGGGGAUCAGUGGCGAACGGGUGAGUAACACGUGGGCAACCUGCCCCUAGCUCUGGGAUAACCUCGGGAAACCGAGGCUAAUACCGGAUAUCACUUCGAGCGGCAUCACUCGGAGUUGAAAGGAUUCUGGCUAGGGAUGGGCCCGCGGCCUAUCAGCUUGUUGGUGGGGUAAUGGCCUACCAAGGCGACGACGGUAGCCGGCCUGAGAGGGCGACCGGCCACACUGGGACUGAGACACGGCCCAGACUCCUACGGGAGGCAGCAGUGGGGAAUAUUGCGCAAUGGGCGAAAGCCUGACGCAGCGACGCCGCGUGA
rnacentral:rRNA from 1 species